CCAGCUCAACCAAUAGGAGCGCCUUGUACAAAUCAAAGCAUUGUAUAUAGAAAAUUGUUCGCAUUGCCAACUGGAUCACUUCGCAUAGAUCACACCGUCACCGCCAUAUUAGAGAUUCUAAGUAGAUAGUUGCAAAUUACAGUGCCAACUUUGCCAAUCGAAGGAUGAACUAUCCGAUCCCUCCAUACGUUCUACCAAUUGACGGACGCAAUUUAGUUUUGCAUUCAAGAGUAUCUCUUGGGCAAGCUCCUUAUUUCCUUGUUUUAUCUUGAAUGUUUUGACAUUUUACUCUGUGGCUUACAUGCAUGUUACAUUUUUCAAGUUAAAAACUCCCGUCGUGCGGAGAUACUUUACAUUUCAAGUCAAACUCCCGUCGUGCGGAGAUACUUUACAUUUCAAGUCAACUACUCCCAUCACAUGGAGAUACAUUCAUCGUGAGGACAUAUUUUACAUUUCAAGUCAACUACUCCCGUCACGUGGAGAUUCUCCCAUUGUGUGGAGACUUAAUGCUCUGAGAGAUGCAGAAUGGUACAUAUCUCGGUUAAAAACCAAGUCAAAAACAAAGGCCCAUCCCGGCAUCCAUAAUGCUCCAAGCUUGGAGACCUCAGAUUCAAAUAUCCCAUCAACCCGAUACCAAAUAACGGCUAGUCAGUAGCCAGGAAUCAUUCAUUCAUGCAUCAUUUACAUCAUAUCUUAACAUAUUUGCAUUACGGUAUAUGGGUAUGUGUGUACUAUGUUUUUGCAGGAUCAAACAUCACGAUGCAGAACUUCGUCUAAGCAGUAAACCAAGCUACAAUGCUAUGAGGGACAACAAACUCAUAAGCGGUCCAAGGAUCCAACUCAAAUUCCAAUAUGAUCAGUAGAACUCUAAAUCAUCGAAUCAUUCAAGUUUCAUAAUGAAGGGAAAAUCCGAAGUCAUUACCGGUGCCAGAAUCUUCUCGUCUUGUAGUAUCAUCAUAACAUGAUACUAGGGAAAUUCCUACAAGCAUCACCUUCUCCAAAUCAUAAUUUCAGAACUAUAUGAGCCCUAAUCCUCGUUAAGCCCAAGGUAUGUAAGCGAUUCAUGGCUAGAAUUUGGCCCCAAUUUCCCAAAAUUCCCAUGGAAUCGUCCCUAAUUCCCACAACUCAUAAUCAUCCUCCAAUCCAUAUGCCGUUCCUGCAAUACAUGCCUGAAGUCGGCACAAAAUUGGUUUUGGUUCGAUUUCUUUGCCCGAAAACUCUUUCAUCGUCUCCAGCCAAAGAGGGACAUAUCUCUCCCCAGCAUUUGGCUAUGGGAGAUCCAAUCUAAAACCCUAAGGAAGCUAC
rnacentral:lncRNA from 1 species